rnacentral:tRNA from 1 species
GCUUGGGUAGCUCAGUUGGUUAGAGCAUUUGCCUGAAGAGCAAAGGGUCGGCGGUUCGACUCCGCCCCCAAGCACCA